rnacentral:rRNA from 1 species
CCUUAAAAGGUAAAUUUUAACCUAUCCUAUUUGGCGGCCUUCAAUCUUAUUAAAGGAACUGUUGUUUAACCGAUGAUACGCGAUAUUUUUAACUUAGACCUAAUUUUUAUACCUCCGUCCAAAGGGUCAAAUCAAAUAUUUUAUUCGUUCCAUACUUCUUCAAGUAAUUAUGUCAGGUCGAGGUGAAGUUUAUGUUUAAGUUUCAAUGAGUUAUCAAUAAAUAUAAUUUAUGGACUUCUAUUUAAAACUAGAAAUCGAAUCAAGAUUUAAAAGUAUUUUCAAUUCAGUACAUCGGAAAGAAUAAGCAAAAAAGGUGUACAUAUCGCCCGUCGCCCUCGUCUAAAGAGGAGGUAAGUCGUAACACAGUUAAUAUACUGGAAAGUGUAUUAGGUGUAUUUCUUUCUAGCUUUUAGUAUUUCAUUUACACUGAAAAGAUUCCGUUUUUUCUUCAAUUUCAAUUCUUAUAAACAAAGUCUUCGCACUUUUACCUAUCUAAUUCAAGACUUCAAAAACUGAAAAGGAUUACCAUAAUAUCGUCUAAGUAAAUCUAUGUACCUUUUGUAUCAGGGAUUUUCUAAUCAUAAUGUGAAUCACAAAUUCCCGAAACGAGACGAACUUCAUAUUUUAAUAAAUGUUAUGACAUAAACAAUACAAAUUAUAUGAAGUUGAGAUAUUCUUUUCAAGUCUUUCCUUAUCUGGUUCACUUUACCUUUUCUCAACAUUUUACAAAGAAUAAGCUUAGUAUUAAAGGUUUAUUACCCUUCCUUACUUAAAUCUAGAUUUAACAGUACCCAUAUUGUUUUCAAACUCUCCCAUUUCUUCUUCUAAACUUACUUUGAGUGAUCUGCCCCACCCCUUUACAAUGAAAAUAUAAGUAAAAAUUUUUUCUUUUCUUUAUUCUUUGAAAAUCUAUCCUCCCUAUAAAUUUACAUUGAAACCAUGAACUAGGCCUCAAUCAAUUGACUGUUUACCAAAAACAUAGCUAAUAGGUCCCAAUUACUAGUAAUACCUGCUCCAUGAAAA